rnacentral:rRNA from 1 species
UACGAAGGGUGCAAGCGUUGUUCGGAUUUAUUGGGCGUAAAGCGCGCGCAGGCGGGUAAUCAAGUCAGAUGUGAAAUCUCGGGGCUUAACCCCGAAACUGCGUCUGAAACUGGUUGUCUAGAAUCAUAUAGGGGGUUGGGGAAUUUCGCAUGUAGGGGUAAAAUCCGUAGAGAUGCGAAGGAACACCGGUGGCGAAGGCGCCGACCUGGAUAUGUAUUGACGCUGAGGCGCGAAAGCGUGGGUAGCAAACAGG